GUCAGUGUGAAGCGAGCCCUGGUGAGGUGUGGAACCCACGGUCGGUGCUGAUCAUUAGCGUCUCCAUCCUGCGAGGAUUCCCAUAUCCACUGAGGAUUUCCGUUCCCCUUCGUCCCAUAGCGGGAUCUUGCCAAAGCAGGCUCAGGAAGAGUCUGACCUGCAGUGUGUGUGGAUUUCGUCGGAUUCUCGCGAAGAUAUUCAACGGCGCGGGAGUGAGGGUGUGUCAGUGUUCGCCCCCGAGUGUAGGGAAACCUAUCGGGAGGCCCCAGUGUUUUAGUGAGGAUUACUGUUCACGAGCAAGGAUUCCGUUAUUCGCUGAGGAUUACAACCUGUACGCCAAGGAUCUCCCGCCAUUCAGCGAGGAUUUGAGUGUCCACAAAGGGUCACCGUAAUUGCCCGGGAGAAUUCGGAACGCCAUUUAGGGAUUCCAGGAUCCAUCGACGCUCGAGAGGGCCAGGCGACAACGACGGUGGUGGUGGUGGCCACGAUUCUGCGGU